CUUCUUGAAAUUCUCUACCAG
rnacentral:misc_RNA from 1 species